AUAGAUUUGGUCCUAAUCUUUUUAUUAAUUAUAACUAUAAUUAUACAUGCAAGUUUCACCACCCCAGUGAGUAAGCCCCACAUCCCCGCUUAGUGAUGAAGGAGCUGGUAUCAGGCAUACACACCCAAAACACCACGCUUAGCCACACCUACACAGGAACUCAGCAGUAAUUAACAUUAAACCAUAAGUGAAAACUUGAUUUAGUAAUAGUAUUUAAAGUUGGUAAAUCUCGUGCCAGCCACCGCGGUUACACGAAAGACUUAAAUUAAUAUAUGCGGCCCAAAGGACAGUUUAAGGUUUUAUAGGAACUUAAGAGCCUUUAAGGCCGUUAUACGUUUAAAAGGUCAAAAACACAAAUCACCCCACCAACUUGAAUCUGUUAAAGCCGGGGGACACACUGGGAUUAGAUACCCCACUAUGCCCGACUAUAAACUUCGGCCCACCGCCCGCCAGAGCACUACGAGCUACAGCUUAAAACUCAAAGGACUUGACGGUACCUUAUACCCACCUAGAGGAGCCUGUUCUGUAAUUGAUAACCCCCAAUAAACCUCACCGCCUCUUGUAAAUUUUAGUCUAUAUACCACCGUCGCAAGCCCGCCUUAAAGAGAAUAAUAGCGGGCCUAAUAAUUUUAAAUUAAAAAGUCAGGUCAAGGUGUAACAAAUGAGUCGGAAAGAAAUGGGCUACAUUUUCUUCAAAGAAAAAUACGAAAUAUCAUAUGAAAUAUGCUACGAAGGAGGAUUUAGAAGUAAAUAGAAAGUAGAGUGUUCUUUUAAAACCGGCAAUAAGGUGAGCACACACCGCCCGUCACCCUCUUAAGUAUUAAUAGAUUAACAUAUAAUAAUCACACCUUAAAUAGAGGAAAGUCGUAACAUGGUAAGUCUACCGGAAGGUGGCCUUGGA
rnacentral:ncRNA from 1 species